rnacentral:ncRNA from 2 species
CAAUUCCUUCGGGGCAGGGUGAAAUUCCCGACCGGCGGUGAUGCGCAUAUCGAGCGUUAGCCCGCGAGCCACUUUUGCUGAAAUGAGGCAGAAGUGUGCAGGAUCUGGUGAGAAUCCAGAGCCGACAGUACAGUCUGGAUGGGAGAAGGAUGAC